rnacentral:rRNA from 1 species
GACGAACGCUGGCGGCGUGCUUAACACAUGCAAGUCGAACGGUGAAGCUCCAGCUUGCUGGAGUGGAUCAGUGGCGAACGGGUGAGUAACACGUGAGCAACCUGCCCCUGACUCUGGAAUAAGCGCUGGAAACGGCGUCUAAUACUGGAUACGAGAAGGGUCCGCAUGGGCACUUUCUGGAAAGUUUUUCGGUUGGGGAUGGGCUCGCGGCCUAUCAGCUUGUUUGUGAGGUAAUGGCUCACCAAGGCGACGACGGGUAGCCGGCCUGAGAGGGCGACCGGCCACACUGGGACUGAGACACGGCCCAGACUCCUACGGGAGGCAGCAGUGGGGAAUAUUGCACAAUGGGCGAAAGCCUGAUGCAGCGACGCCGCGUGAGGGAUGACGGCCUUCGGGUUGUAAACCUCUUUCAGCAGGGAAGAAGCGAAAGUGACGGUACCUGCAGAAGAAGCACCGGCUAACUACGUG